UUAGAGUUUGAUCAUGGCUCAGGAUCAACGCUGGCGGCGUGCCUAAUGCAUGCAAGUCGAACGUCCGUUCCUUCGGGAACGGGAGUGGCGAACGGCUGAGGAACACGUGCGUACCUGCCCGCUUGUGGGGAAUACCGGCUGGAAACAGCCGACAAGACCGCAUACGCUGACUUCGGUCAGGAAAGUCGCAAGACGCAGGCGGAGGGGCGCGCGGCCCAUCAGGUGGUUGGCGGGGUAACGGCCCACCAAGCCGGUGACGGGUCGCUGGUCUGCGAGGACGGCCAGCCAGACUGGGACUGCGACACGGCCCAGACACCUACGGGUGGCAGCAGCAAGGAAUCUUCCCCAAUGGACGCAAGUCUGAGGGAGCAACGCCGCGUGGAGGAUGACGGCCUUCGGGUUGUAAACUCCUUUUCGGUGGGAUGAUAAUGACAGUACCACCGGGAAUCAGCCCCGGCUAACUCUGUGCCAGCAGCCGCGGUAAGACAGAGGGGGCAAGCGUUGUCCGGAAUUACUGGGCGUAAAGCGCGCGCAGGCGGCCACGGAUGUGCCUGGUGACAGUCCGCCGCUCAACGGCGGGAGGCCUGGGUAGACACCGCGGCUAGCGGCAGGGAGAGGGCAGUGGAAUACCCGGUGGAGCGGUGAAAUGCGUAGAGAUCGGGUGGAACACCAGUGGCGAAGGCGGCUGCCUGGCCCUGUUUCGGACGCUGAGGCGCGACAGCGUGGGGAGCAAACGGGAUUAGAUACCCCGGUAGUCCACGCCGUAAACGAUGUGGAGCCGGUGCUGGUGGGUGAUUGCGCCCGUCGGUGCCUGAGCUUACGCGAUGACUCCACCGCCUGGGAACUACGGCCGCAAGGCUAAAACUCAAAGGAAUUGACGGGGGCCCGCACAAGCAGCGGAGCGUGUGGUUUAAUUCGACGCAACACGAAGCACCUCACCUAGGCUUGACAUGUACGUGCAUGCGGCGGAAACGUCGCAGCCUUCGAGGGUCGUACACAGGUGCUGCAUGGCUGUCGUCAGCUCGUGUCGUGAGAUGUUGGGUUAAGUCCCGCAACGAGCGCAACCCUUGCUCGGUGUUAUAUGUGUCACCGAGGACUGCCGGCACAGGGUGUCGGAGGAAGGCGGGGAUGACGUCAAGUCAGCAUGGCCCGUACGCCUAGGGCGACACACACGCUACAAUGGCCGGCGGAAUGCGUUGCCACCCGGUAACGGGGCGCCAAUCGCGAAGGCCGGUCGCAGUGCAGAUUGGGGGCUGCAACUCGCCCCCAUGAAGGCGGAGUUGCUAGUAACCGCGUGUCAGCAGAGCGCGGUGAAUACGUACCCGGGCCUUGUACACACCGCCCGUCACGUCAUGGGAGUCGGGAACACCCGAAGUCCGUGGGCGAACCGCAAGGACGCAACGGCCGAGGGUGGGCCUGGCGACUGGGACGAAGUCGUAACAAGGUAACCGUA
rnacentral:rRNA from 1 species